UACCUGGCUGAUCCUGCCAGUAGUCAUAUGCUUGUCUCAAAGAUUAAGCCAUGCAAGUCUAAGUACGAGCUCUCGUACAGUGAAACUGCGAAUGGCUCAUUAAAUCAGUUAUGGUUCAUUUGAUCGUACAGUUUACUUGGAUAACUGUGGUAAUUCUAGAGCUAAUACAUGCGAGAAGCGCCGACCUCGCGGGAGGCGUGCAUUUAUCAGACCAAAAACCGGCCGCGUCUUCGGGCGCGUUCGCCUUGGUGACUCUGGAUAACUUUGCGGAUCGCACGGUCUAGCACCGGCGACGGAUCAUUCAAGUGUCUGCCCUAUCAACUUUCGUCGGUACGGUAUUUGCCUACCGAGGUUCUUACGGGUGACGGGGAAUCAGGGUUCGAUUCCGGAGAGGGAGCCUGAGAAACGGCUACCACAUCCAAGGAAGGCAGCAGGCGCGCAAAUUACCCAUUCCCGACGCGGGGAGGUAGUGACGAAAAAUAACAAUGCAGGACUCGUUCGAGGCCCUGUAAUUGGAAUGAGUACACUUUAAAAGCUUUAACGAGUAUCCAUUGGAGGGCAAGUCUGGUGCCAGCAGCCGCGGUAAUUCCAGCUCCAAAAGUAUAUAUUUAAGUUGUUGCGGUUAAAAAGCUCGUAGUUGGAUUUUGGGCGCAGGCGGCCGGUCCGUCGCAAGGCGUGUACUGGACGUCCUGGCCUU
rnacentral:ncRNA from 1 species